CAGAGGUGGACCUUGGGGACCGUGAACUACAAGGAAGACCGCCGAAGUGGUGGGAGUGGGAGGCUGCGGAGCUGGGGCCGUCCUAUAACUUUUACAGUGCAUGUUCUAGCUGAGGAAUGGUUUGUUCAUAUUUAGGUUGGACUCCGGAGCAAAGAUCCCGGUGUUUUCAUGGCUCUGACCUGCUACUAGGAUGUCCUACAGGCCCGCUUGUCCUCUCAGAGCUCAGUUACUUCCCGUAUCACUAACACACUAACAUCCUCUUCUUUCAGGACUGAUGUGCAGCUCAGAGAUGUCGUAUGUGAAAGUUUUGUCAAGUUUGGAGAGUGCAUAAGGAAGGACUCACUGCCUGGGUCACCAGAAUGGCGUUCUUUCUUCAUCCAGGUGCUUUCCAACACCUGCUGCGUUCCAGUCUGAAUGGCCCUUGAUUGUUUACAAGGUGUUUUCACACCCAGAGCCCUUUAACCUCAUCCUUUGGGGCAGGUCAGAUGUCUCUCCUCAACCCCAUUCCUUUAUCGGACCUCAGUAAGGCAUGGCCCCUCCACUGUGUGAGAACCGACUCAAACUUAGCAGCUCCAAAGUGAUGUCACCUGCGCAAACUCAUACCUGUACAGAACUAAAGACUUGCCAGGAGCUUCCUGAGGCAAGCCGCAGGUCCCUUGCUGAAACCAGCUGAGAUGGCACUGUGCUGCUCCUGGGGCCUCCCCCACUGCCAGGUUUGGGCAGGGGAAGUGGGGGGAGAGACACCCACUGCACAUGAAUAAUGGCUGGGGAGAAGCUUGAUGAUUUCAAGGCAGCAAUCAACCCUGGACUGAAAACCAACAUAGGUGCCCGGCGGCCCGCUUCUAGCCUACCAAUGCACUUGCCCUUGAAUCCAAAACGGAACUAAUCCCAUCCAAGUUUUAUUUGUUUGCUCCUUGUGUUCUGUAGCUUGCCGUCUAUAUUAAAAUACA